UACAGAGGCCUCGAGCGUUAGGCGGAAUUACUGGGCGUCAAGCGUGUGCAGGCGGGGAGACAAGAGGGGUAUGAAAUUUCCCGGCUUAACCGGGAAGGGUUAUGCCAGACUGUCUUUCUGGAGUGCGAGAGAGGGGCGUGGAAUUCCGGGUGUAGUGGUGAAAUGCGUAGAGAUCCGGAGGAACCCCAGAGGCGAAGGCGGCGCCCUGGCUCGCAACUGACGCUCAGACACGACAGCAUGGGGAGCGAACGGG
rnacentral:rRNA from 1 species